UAAACCUUAAGGGCUAAUUGACUGCAGAAUUUUUUAUUUUUUUUAAGGGCUUAAUUGACUUGGGCCAAAAUGAUUUUUGCUGAUUUUUCCUAGAUAUUAUAGGAGUUUCCAUUAUAAAGAUGUCAUACUCUUAGCGAUNNUGAUGGUAAAAAUCAGCAAUAGAUAAACAAUCCACAAGACACUUGGUUUAACAUAGAACAAUAUAUCCUACCAGUCUAGCAACACAAGUGAUAUUGUACUGUAAUAAUAAAAC
rnacentral:misc_RNA from 1 species